AUCCAGAUGACGAGUCCCAAAUAGGACGAAACGCGGGUCCUAGAU
rnacentral:hammerhead_ribozyme from 1 species